rnacentral:rRNA from 1 species
CUAAAUACUCCUUAGUGACCGAUAGCGCAUAGUACUGUGAAGGAAAGGUGAAAAGAACCCCGGGAGGGGAGUGAAAGAGAACCUGAAACCCUGUGUCUACAAGCUGUGGGACCUCUUUAUAUGAGGGACUGCGUACUUUUUGUAGAACGGUCCGGCGAGUUGUGCGUACUGGCGAGGUUAAGGACUUAAGGUCUGGAGCCGAAGUGAAAGCAAGCGUUAAUAGCGCGUCAAGUCAGUGAGUGCAGACCCGAAACCGGGUGACCUAUCCAUGUCCAGGUUGAAGCUUCCGUAAGAGGAAGUGGAGGACCGAACCCACAUCCGUUGAAAAGGGUGGGGAUGAGGUGUGGAUAGCGGAGAAAUUCCAAUCGAACCCGGAGAUAGCUGGUUCUCCUCGAAAUAGCUUUAGGGCUAGCCUCAUGAGAGUCUUAUGGAGGUAGAGCACUGAAUUGCCUAGGGGGCGUCAAAGCUUACCAAAGCAUAUCAAACUCCGAAUGCCAUCAAGAUGAUUCAUGGGAGUCAGACCAUACGAGAUAAGUUGGAUGGUCAAAAGGGAAAGAGCCCAGACCUACAGCUAAGGUCCCAAAGUGCGUGUUAAGUGGAAAAGGAUGUGGGGAUUCUAAGACAACUAGGACGUUGGCUUAGAAGCAGCCAUUCAUUGAAAGAGUGCGUAAUAGCUCACUAGUCGAGAGUCCCUGCGCCGAAAAUGUCCGGGGCUGAAACACGACACCGAAGCUUAGGAAUGUGUAAACAUUGGUAGAGGAGCAUUGCUGGCGGGAUGAAGCCAUACCGUAAGGAGUGGUGGACUGCCAGGAAGAGAGAAUGCCGGAAUGAGUAGCGAGAUGAAGGUGAGAAUCCUUCAGGCCGAAUAUCUAAGGUUUCCAGAGUAAAGCUGAUCUGCUCUGGGUAAGUCGGGACCUAAGGCGAGGUCGAAAGACGUAGUCGAUGGAUAACAGGUUGAAAUUCCUGUACCGCAUAUAAACAGAACUGUGGGGACACAGACAGGGAAUGGAAUCCGGGAGUGGAAAUCCCGGUGCAAGCGAGGUAGGAGUGCUGUUGGCAAAUCCGCAGCACGAUCUGAAGACGUGACGCGUACCGAACAUAAGUAGGGAAGUCCAGGCCCCUGGCUGUCAAGAAAAGCCGCUAUCGUUUUAUAUGUGCCCGUACCGCAAACCGACACAGGUGGAUGAGGAGAGAAUCCUAAGGCCGACGGGAGAAGCAUUGUUAAGGAACUCGGCAAAAUGACUCCGUAACUUCGGGAGAAGGAGUGCCAGUAAGAUGGCCGCAGAGAAUUGGCCCAAGCAACUGUUUAGCAAAAACACAGGUCUAUGCAAAACCGAAAGGUGAGGUAUAUGGGCUGACGCCUGCCCGGUGCUGGAAGGUUAAGGGGAGAGGUUAGCGCAAGCGAAGCUUUGAACUUAAGCCCCAGUAAACGGCGGCCGUAACUAUAACGGUCCUAAGGUAGCGAAAUUCCUUGUCGGGUAAGUUCCGACCCGCACGAAAGGCGUAAUGAUUUGGGCACUGUCUCAACAAUGCACCCGGUGAAAUUGAAAUACCAGUGAAGAUGCUGGUUACCUGCGCCAGGACGGAAAGACCCCAUGGAGCUUUACUCCAGCUUGAUACUGGGAUUCGGUAUUGCAUGUACAGGAUAGGUGGGAGGCUAGGAAAUGGUAACGCCAGUUGCCAUGGAGCCACUGUUGGGAUACCACCCUUGCAGUACUGGGUUUCUAACCAGCAGCCGUGAUCCGGCUGGGGGACAAUGUCAGGUGGGGAGUUUGACUGGGGCGGUCGCCUCCGAAAGGGUAUCGGAGGCGCUCAAAGGUUCCCUCAGAAUGGUUGGAAACCAUUCGAAGAGUGCAAAGGCAGAAGGGAGCUUGACUGCGACACCGACGGGUGGAGCAGGUACGAAAGUAGGACUUAGUGAUCCGGUGGUAUAA